rnacentral:rRNA from 1 species
GACGAAGGGGGCUAGCGUUGUUCGGAAUUACUGGGCGUAAAGCGCGUGUAGGCGGUUGUUCAAGUCGGGUGUGAAAGCCUUGAGCUCAACUCAAGAAGUGCACUCGGUACUGGAUGACUAGAGGACCGGAGAGGAUAGUGGAAUUCCCAGUGUAGUGGUGAAAUACGUAGAGAUUGGGAAGAACACCAGUGGCGAAGGCGGCUAUCUGGACGGUUUCUGACGCUAAGACGCGAAAGCGUGGGGAGCAAACAGG